CAGGCGCGAAAAUUACCGAAGCUCAAAAUGAGGCGGUAGUAAUGAGACGUAAAAAAAUAAUAUAAGGGUAAAAAACUUAUUAAUAACUGGAGGUCAAGUCUGGUGCCAGCAUCCGCGGUAAUACCAGCUCCAGGGGUGUCUAUGAUGAUUGCUGCGAUUAAAAGGUCCGUAGUCGAAUUUAGAUAAUUGUUUGUAAUAUGUUAGAUAAAAUAAUAAAAAGAACAAUUAGUUAAAUGAAAGGAAUAGCAAGAGGUUGAUUAAUCGAGUAACGAGAGGUGAAAUUUGAUGACUUACUUGGGAGAAACAGAGGCGAAAGCGUCAAUCAAGUGUAAAUCCGAUGAUCAAGGACGUAGGCUGGAGUAUCGAACACGAUUAGAUACCGUAGUAGUUCCAGCAGUAAACUAUGCCUACGCCAUUGAAUAAAAGUUUGGUGGACGAGAAAUCUAGAGUAGGGCCUUGGGGAGAGUACACGCGCAAGCGAUAAAUUUAAAGGAAAUU
rnacentral:rRNA from 1 species